ACCAACGCGAUGAGUUCCCCGUACGGGC
rnacentral:piRNA from 1 species